UCCCUCGUGGUCCAGUGGAUAAGACUCUGUGUUCCCAACUCAGGAGGCUCGGGUUUGAUCCCUGGUCAGGGAA
rnacentral:tRNA from 1 species